rnacentral:rRNA from 3 species
AAAUUGAAGAGUUUGAUCAUGGCUCAGAUUGAACGCUGGCGGCAGGCCUAACACAUGCAAGUCGAACGGUAACAGGAAGCAGCUUGCUGCUUUGCUGACGAGUGGCGGACGGGUGAGUAAUGUCUGGGAAACUGCCUGAUGGAGGGGGAUAACUACUGGAAACGGUAGCUAAUACCGCAUAAUGUCGCAGGACCAAAGAGGGGGACCUUCGGGCCUCUUGCCAUCAGAUGUGCCCAGAUGGGAUUAGCUUGUUGGUGAGGUAACGGCUCACCAAGGCGACGAUCCCUAGCUGGUCUGAGAGGAUGACCAGCCACACUGGAACUGAGACACGGUCCAGACUCCUACGGGAGGCAGCAGUGGGGAAUAUUGCACAAUGGGCGCAAGCCUGAUGCAGCCAUGCCGCGUGUAUGAAGAAGGCCUUCGGGUUGUAAAGUACUUUCAGCGGGGAGGAAGGGGAUAAGGCUAAUAACCUUGUU